UACGUAGGGUGCAAGCGUUAAUCGGAAUUACUGGGCGUAAAGCGUGCGCAGGCGGUUUUGUAAGUCUGUCGUGAAAUCCCCGGGCUCAACCUGGGAACUGCGCUCGAUACUGCGGAGCUCGAGUACGAGAGAGGAGGGUGGAAUUCCAGGUGUAGCGGUGAAAUGCGUAGAGAUCAGGAGGAACACCGAUGGCGAAGGCAGCUCGCUGGAACGGUACUGACGCUGAGGCGCGAAAGCGUGGGGAGCGAACAGG
rnacentral:rRNA from 1 species